rnacentral:rRNA from 1 species
UAGCUAGUUGGUGAGGUAAAGGCUUACCAAGGCGACGAUCUGUAGCGGGUCUGAGAGGAUGAUCCGCCACACUGGAACUGAGACACGGUCCAGACUCCUACGGGAGGCAGCAGUGGGGAAUUUUGGACAAUGGGGGCAACCCUGAUCCAGCCAUGCCGCGUGAGUGAAGAAGGCCUUCGGGUUGUAAAGCUCUUUCGGCCGGGAAGAAAUCGCAUGGGCCAAUACCCUGUGUGGAUGACGGUACCGGAAUAAGAAGCACCGGCUAACUACGUGCCAGCAGCCGCGGUAAUACGUAGGGUGCGAGCGUUAAUCGGAAUUACUGGGCGUAAAGCGUGCGCAGGCGGUUUUGUAAGACAGGCGUGAAAUCCCCGGGCUUAACCUGGGAACUGCGUUUGUGACUGCAAGGCUAGAGUACGGCAGAGGGGGGUGGAAUUCCACGUGUAGCAGUGAAAUGCGUAGAGAUGUGGAGGAACACCAAUGGCGAAGGCAGCCCCCUGGGUCGAUACUGACGCUCAUGCACGAAAGCGUGGGUAGCAAACAGGAUUAGAUACCCUGGUAGUCCACGCCCUAAACUAUGUCAACUAGGUGUUGGGUGGGUAAAACCAUUUAGUACCGUAGCUAACGCGUGAAGUUGACUGCCUGGGGAGUACGGCCGCAAGGUUAAAACUCAAAGGAAUUGACGGGGACCCGCACAAGCGGUGGAUGAUGUGGAUUAAUUCGAUGCAACGCGAAAAACCUUACCUACCCUUGACAUGCCAGGAACUUGCCAGAGAUGGCUUGGUGCCCGAAAGGGAGCCUGGACACAGGUGCUGCAUGGCUGUCGUCAGCUCGUGUCGUGAGAUGUUGGGUUAAGUCCCGCAACGAGCGCAACCCUUGUCGUUAAUUGCCAUCAUUUAGUUGGGCACUUUAACGAGACUGCCGGUGACAAACCGGAGGAAGGUGGGGAUGACGUCAAGUCCUCAUGGCCCUUAUGGGUAGGGCUUCACACGUCAUACAAUGGUCGGUACAAAGGGUUGCCAAGCCGCGAGGCGGAGCCAAUCCCAGAAAGCCGAUCGUAGUCCGGAUUGCAGGCUGCAACUCGCCUGCAUGAAGUCGGAAUCGCUAGUAAUCGUGGAUCAGCAUGUCACGGUGAAUACGUUCCCGGGUCUUGUACACACCGCCCGUCACACCAUGGGAGCGGGUUCCGCCAGAAGUAGGUAGCCUAACCGCAAGGGGGGCGCUUACCACGGCGGGGUUCGUGACUGGGGUGAAGUCGGAACAAGGUAGCCGUAGGGGAACCUGCGGCUG